rnacentral:tRNA from 1 species
GGAGAGUUGCCGGAGCGGUUGAUCGGGGCGGUCUCGAAAACCGUUGUGCCCAUGCGGGUACCCAGGGUUCGAAUCCCUGACUCUCCGCCA